rnacentral:rRNA from 1 species
CGGACGGGUGAGUAACGCGUGGGGAACCGUGCCCUGUACCGGGGGAGUAGCAGCCGGAAACGGCUGAUAAUACCGCAUAAGCGCACGAAUGUCGCAUGACAUGGUGUGAAAAAACUCCGGUGGUAUAGGAUGGACCCGCGUCUGAUUAGCCUGUUGGUGGGGUAAAAGCCUACCAAAGCGAAGAUCAGUAGCCGAGUUGAGAGACUGACCGGCCACAUUGGGACUGAGACACGGCCCAGACUCCUACGGGAGGCAGCAGCC